UCUGGAAAGGCGCGCGAUACAGGGUGACAGCCCCGUACACAAAAAUGCACAUACUGUGAGCUCGAUGAGUAGGGCGGGACACGUGGUAUCCUGUCUGAAUAUGGGGGGACCAUCCUCCAAGGCUAAAUACUCCUGACUGACCGAUAGUGAACCAGUACCGUGAGGGAAAGGCGAAAAGAACCCCGGCGAGGGGAGUGAAAAAGAACCUGAAACCGUGUACGUACAAGCAGUGGGAGCCUCUUAAUGGGGUGACUGCGUACCUUUUGUAUAAUGGGUCAGCGACUUAUAUUCUGUAGCAAGGUUAACCGAAUAGGGGAGCCGAAGGGAAACCGAGUCUUAACUGGGCGUUAAGUUGCAGGGUAUAGACCCGAAACCCGGUGAUCUAGCCAUGGGCAGGUUGAAGGUUGGGUAACACUAACUGGAGGACCGAACCGACUAAUGUUGAAAAAUUAGCGGAUGACUUGUGGCUGGGGGUGAAAGGCCAAUCAAACCGGGAGAUAGCUGGUUCUCCCCGAAAGCUAUUUAGGUAGCGCCUCGUGAAUUCAUCUCCGGGGGUAGAGCACUGUUUCGGCAAGGGGGUCAUCCCGACUUACCAACCCGAUGCAAACUGCGAAUACCGGAGAAUGUUAUCACGGGAGACACACGGCGGGUGCUAACGUCCGUCGUGAAGAGGGAAACAACCCAGACCGCCAGCUAAGGUCCCAAAGUCAUGGUUAAGUGGGAAACGAUGUGGGAAGGCCCAGACAGCCAGGAUGUUGGCUUAGAAGCAGCCAUCAUUUAAAGAAAGCGUAAUAGCUCACUGGUCGAGUCGGCCUGCGCGGAAGAUGUAACGGGGCUAAACCAUG
rnacentral:rRNA from 1 species